GAAAAAGCACGCAAGAACUGCUAAUUCUAUGCCCCAUGCCUAACAGUAUGGCUUUUUCA
rnacentral:tRNA from 1 species